AAGAAUAAAAAGAAGGAAGGAAACAGAAUAGCAGGAAACGAAACAGAGAAGAAACAGGGGAGAAAGAAAGAAAGAAAAGAAAAAGGGAAAAUAAGGUUUUAAAGGUUCCAAGUUAAUUUGUCAAUGUGGUACCAGAAAUCUCGGCUAAGAAAGGACAAGACAAAGUCAACAGGAGUUAGCUCGAAAAUUACGGUUAAGUAAAGAUAGUAUGUUGAAUCAGCAUCUCAAGACGAUCCCGAAUUCAUUAAGGUAAAGUAUGUUGAGUAUUGAUAAUGGCAUGUACCCAGGAUGUUUAAUGAGAGUCAUUUAGGUUGUAAAAGUAUUGAUGAAAUGAGUAAAUUAUGGUUGGCAAUGGUAUGUAGUAUGAAUUUUGAAAUUUACUAAAAAUUCGUAGUGAUUCUAAA